UCGCCUACAACAUCCGUGGUAUGUGACAGUGCGCGAUUAAGGUAAAGAAAUCUAAAAGGAAGCUUUUACUACCAUCCAAGAUUUGCUGGACGAGGUGGAGCCACUGGAAAAGAUGUAAUCUCUCAAUGGAAAAUCCAGAUAUUAGGCAUCGGACACAGGUGUCUAACUACUUCAUGUUUAGAAGAUUGUAAACUCUGAUAUACUUCACUGUUCUGAAAUUAUAGUGAGAUUCUGCUUACCCUCUGAUUUUAGAGCCAUUUAGUGAGGAAAAAGACCAUUUACGGCGGGGUGUGCCAUGAGUCCAUGGUCUGAUGAUGUGCUCAAGCCAGCUGCAUGU